UUGGAGGGCAAGUCUGGUGCCAGCAGCCGCGGUGAUUCCAGCUCCAAUAGCGUAUAUUAAAGUCGUUGCAGUUAAAAAGCUCGUAGUUGAAUUUCGGGAUCAGAGUGUCGGUCGUGCCUCGGUACGCACUGGUAUUACUGGUUCCUACCUUCUGAAGAACCGCGAUGUCAUUAAUUUGGUGUCGUGGGGAAUCAGGACUGUUACUUUGAAAAAAUUAGAGUGUUUAAAGCAGGCUUACGCUUGAAUACAUUAGCAUGGAAUAAUGAAAUAGGACGUUUGAUUCUAUUUUGUUGGUUUCUAGGAUUGACGUAAUGAUUAAUAGGGAUAGUUGGGGGCAUUAGUAUUCAAUUGUCAGAGGUGAAAUUCUUGGAUUUAUUGAAGACUAACUACUGCGAAAGCAUUUGCCAAGGAUGUUUUCAUUAAUCGAGAACGAAAGUUAGGGGAUCGAAGACGAUCAGAUACCGUCGUAGUCUUAACCAUAAACUAUGCCGACUAGGGAUCGGAUGAUGUUAAUUUUUUAAUGACUCAUUCGGCGCCUUACGGGAAACCAAAGUGUUUGGGUUC
rnacentral:rRNA from 1 species